rnacentral:rRNA from 1 species
CACUAUCGUUAACUGAAUACAUAGGUUAACGAGGCGAACCGGGGGAACUGAAACAUCUAAGUACCCCGAGGAAAAGAAAUCAACCGAGAUUCCCCCAGUAGCGGCGAGCGAACGGGGAGCAGCCCAGAGUCUGAAUCAGCUUGUGUGUUAGUGGAACGGUCUGGAAAGUCCGACGGUACAGGGUGAUAGUCCCGUACACCAAAAUGCACAGGCUGUGAACUCGAAGAGUAGGGCGGGACACGUGGUAUCCUGUCUGAAUAUGGGGGGACCAUCCUCCAAGGCUAAAUACUCCUGACUGACCGAUAGUGAACCAGUACCGUGAGGGAAAGGCGAAAAGAACCCCGGCGAGGGGAGUGAAAAAGAACCUGAAACCGUGUACGUACAAGCAGUGGGAGCACCUUCGGGUGUGACUGCGUACCUUUUGUAUAAUGGGUCAGCGACUUAUAUUCUGUAGCAAGGUUAACCGUAUAGGGGAGCCGCAGGGAAACCGAGUCUUAACUGGGCGUUAAGUUGCAGGGUAUAGACCCGAAACCCGGUGAUCUAGCCAUGGGCAGGUUGAAGGUUGGGUAACACUAACUGGAGGACCGAACCGACUAAUGUUGAAAAAUUAGCGGAUGACUUGUGGCUGGGGGUGAAAGGCCAAUCAAACCGGGAGAUAGCUGGUUCUCCCCGAAAGCUAUUUAGGUAGCGCCUCGUGAACUCAUCUUCGGGGGUAGAGCACUGUUUCGGCUAGGGGGUCAUCCCGACUUACCAACCCGAUGCAAACUACGAAUACCGAAGAAUGUUAUCACGGGAGACACACGGCGGGUGCUAACGUCCGUCGUGAAGAGGGAAACAACCCAGACCGCCAGCUAAGGUCCCAAAGUCAUGGUUAAGUGGGAAACGAUGUGGGAAGGCACAGACAGCCAGGAUGUUGGCUUAGAAGCAGCCAUCAUUUAAAGAAAGCGUAAUAGCUCACUGGUCGAGUCGGCCUGCGCGGAAGAUGUAACGGGGCUAAACCAUGCACCGAAGCUGCGGCAGCGACACUAUGUGUUGUUGGGUAGGGGAGCGUUCUGUAAGCCUGCGAAGGUGUGCUGUGAGGCAUGCUGGAGGUAUCAGAAGUGCGAAUGCUGACAUAAGUAACGAUAAAGCGGGUGAAAAGCCCGCUCGCCGGAAGACCAAGGGUUCCUGUCCAACGUUAAUCGGGGCAGGGUGAGUCGACCCCUAAGGCGAGGCCGAAAGGCGUAGUCGAUGGGAAACAGGUUAAUAUUCCUGUACUUGGUGUUACUGCGAAGGGGGGACGGAGAAGGCUAUGUUAGCCGGGCGACGGUUGUCCCGGUUUAAGCAUGUAGGCUGGUUGUCCAGGCAAAUCCGGAUAAUCAAGGCUGAGGUGUGAUGACGAGGCACUACGGUGCUGAAGUAACAAAUGCCCUGCUUCCAGGAAAAGCCUCUAAGCAUCAGGUAACAUCAAAUCGUACCCCAAACCGACACAGGUGGUCAGGUAGAGAAUACCAAGGCGCUUGAGAGAACUCGGGUGAAGGAACUAGGCAAAAUGGUGCCGUAACUUCGGGAGAAGGCACGCUGGUGUGUAGGUGAAGUCCCUGCGGAUGGAGCUGAGACCAGUCGAAGAUACCAGCUGGCUGCAACUGUUUAUUAAAAACACAGCACUGUGCAAACACGAAAGUGGACGUAUACGGUGUGACGCCUGCCCGGUGCCGGAAGGUUAAUUGAUGGGGUUAUCCGUAAGGAGAAGCUCUUGAUCGAAGCCCCGGUAAACGGCGGCCGUAACUAUAACGGUCCUAAGGUAGCGAAAUUCCUUGUCGGGUAAGUUCCGACCUGCACGAAUGGCGUAAUGAUGGCCAGGCUGUCUCCACCCGAGACUCAGUGAAAUUGAACUCGCUGUGAAGAUGCAGUGUACCCGCGGCAAGACGGAAAGACCCCGUGAACCUUUACUAUAGCUUGACACUGAACAUUGAGCCUUGAUGUGUAGGAUAGGUGGGAGGCUUUGAAGCGUGGACGCCAGUCUGCGUGGAGCCAACCUUGAAAUACCACCCUUUAAUGUUUGAUGUUCUAACGUUGGCCCCUUACCGGGGUUGCGGACAGUGUCUGGUGGGUAGUUUGACUGGGGCGGUCUCCUCCCAAAGCGUAACGGAGGAGCACGAAGGUUAGCUAAUCCUGGUCGGACAUCAGGAGGUUAGUGCAAUGGCAUAAGCUAGCUUGACUGCGAGCGUGACGGCGCGAGCAGGUGCGAAAGCAGGUCAUAGUGAUCCGGUGGUUCUGAAUGGAAGGGCCAUCGCUCAACGGAUAAAAGGUACUCCGGGGAUAACAGGCUGAUACCGCCCAAGAGUUCAUAUCGACGGCGGUGUUUGGCACCUCGAUGUCGGCUCAUCACAUCCUGGGGCUGAAGUAGGUCCCAAGGGUAUGGCUGUUCGCCAUUUAAAGUGGUACGCGAGCUGGGUUUAGAACGUCGUGAGACAGUUCGGUCCCUAUCUGCCGUGGGCGCUGGAGAAUUGAGGGGGGCUGCUCCUAGUACGAGAGGACCGGAGUGGACGCAUCACUGGUGUUCGGGUUGUCAUGCCAAUGGCACUGCCCGGUAGCUAAAUGCGGAAGAGAUAAGUGCUGAAAGCAUCUAAGCACGAAACUUGCCCCGAGAUGAGUUCUCCCUGAGACUUUAAGUCUCCUGAAGGAACGUUGAAGACGACGACGUUGAUAGGCCGGGUGUGUAAGCGCAGCGAUGCGUUGAGCUAACCGGUACUAAUGAACCGUGAGGCUUAACCUUACAACGCCGAAG